CAACUUAUAGUUUUAACUUUGCAUGAUUAACUUCACCUUUCAGUUACAAUCGUCUGGGGAAGGAUGCCGUUGAAACUGAUGCAGAGGAGAUCAUUGACAUGGCUGGCAAGGCCUCCCUAGCUGAUCAACAGAAGCAGGUCCAAGAAAAUGUGCAUUCCCAGAUUACAAGCUUUUGCAAGUAUAUGGAUCACAUAUUACAACCUGAUCUUAUGGUCAAGGACAAGCAGGGAACACCAUCUUCUGAAAAUAAUUCUUCUCCUCGUCGCAGUGGUCUCAGUUUUGCUAUUGGUAGGACUGCUCCAUUAAAGGACCACAGCGAUAGUAAUGGCCAUAAAACGUCGUGGAGAGGAAGUACUAGGUGGUCUCUAUACUGGGAUUAAUACAAAACAUAUAUUCACCACAAGCAACAUGGUAGAGGAGUAUAGUGGGCAUAAGCUGCAGCCACAUAAGGCCAUUGUUGGACCUCAUGGUUCUCAACCCAUUUCAUUGACCACUAGGUCACACUUUUGAAUGACUUUUUGAUCCACUUUUGUCAAACAUAAAUAUUGUAAUAAAUCUCACUUGAUCAGUAAACAAUAGUACACGUAAAUUCCAUGGUCGGACACAUAUGCUACAAGUUAGGAAAACGGCAGAUGGUCACAUGAUUCGGCAAAUCAUCUCAGCAUUGGAUGUGUCAUAUUGUACAAAGGCCAAGAGAAGUUCCACAGCAGUACACUAAACACUUUGGAUUAUGUGGUGCAUUAGUGUGACUGCAGACACUUGUGUAGCAAUGGAUGAGUGGAUUCAAAACCCCACUUGCGUCAACAUAGACUUGUUUAAACAGAAGUGAUGCAACUGAAGAUGCAAAAUGAAGUUGACAUUUAUAUUGUUGUAUGUUUUAGAGACGGAAGUUGUUCUGGAAUUACUAAAUAGAACCUUGAAUUUUGAACAUACAAUGUUGACAUUGGCUUAUCAAAGUUUG